rnacentral:rRNA from 1 species
CCUACGGGGGGCAGCAGUGAGGAAUAUUGGUCAAUGGUCGAGAGUCUGAACCAGCCAAGUAGCGUGAAGGAUGACUGCCCUAUGGGUUGUAAACUUCUUUUAUAUGGGAAUAAAAUGUUCCACGUGUGGGAUUUUGUAUGUACCAUAUGAAUAAGGAUCGGCUAACUCCGUGCCAGCAGCCGCGGUAAUACGGAGGAUCCGAGCGUUAUCCGGAUUUAUUGGGUUUAAAGGGAGCGUAGGUGGAUUGUUAAGUCAGUUGUGAAAGUUUGCGGCUCAACCGUAAAAUUGCAGUUGAAACUGGCAGUCUUGAGUACAGUAGAGGUGGGCGGAAUUCGUGGUGUAGCGGUGAAAUGCUUAGAUAUCACGAAGAACUCCGAUUGCGAAGGCAGUUCACUGGACUGCAACUGACACUGAGGCUCGAAAGUGUGGGUAUCAAACAGGAUUAGAUACCCUAGUAGUC